rnacentral:rRNA from 1 species
GUGGGGAAUCUUGCGCAAUGGGCGAAAGCCUGACGCAGCCAUGCCGCGUGAAUGAUGAAGGUCUUAGGAUUGUAAAGUUCUUUCGCCUGUGACGAUGAUGACGGUAACAGGAGAAGAAGCCCCGGCUAACUUCGUGCCAGCAGCCGCGGUAAUACGAAGGGGGCUAGCGUUGUUCGGAAUUACUGGGCGUAAAGCGCGCGUAGGCGGCUUUGCAAGCCAGAGGUGAAAUGCCUGAGCUCAACUUAGGAAUUGCCUUUGGGACUGCGAGGCUUCGAGGACUGGAGAGGUGAGUGGAAUUCCCAGUGUAGAGGUGAAAUUCGUAGAUAUUGGGAAGAACACCAGUGGCGAAGGCGGCUCACUGGCCAGUUUCUGACGCUAAAGUGCGAAAGCGUGGGGAUCAAACAGGAUUAGAUACCCUGGUAGUCC